UACGUAGGGCGCAAGCGUUGUCCGGAAUUAUUGGGCGUAAAGAGCUCGUAGGUGGCUUGUCGCGUCUGCCGUGAAAGCCCAUGGCUUAACUGUGGGUCUGCGGUGGAUACGGGCUGGCUAGAGGUAGGUAGGGGCAAGCGGAAUUCCUGGUGUAGCGGUGAAAUGCGCAGAUAUCAGGAAGAACACCCGUGGCGAAAGCGGCUCUCUGGGCCGUAACUGACGCUGAGGAGCGAAAGCAUGGGGAGCGAACAGG
rnacentral:rRNA from 1 species